UCUCCCUCAAAAAUAUCUCCUCUCUCCCUCCCUCACCCCGAUCCUCUUCUCCGUGCCGUCGCCGCCUCCGCUCCCCCUCCCGCGGCCCUCAUCCCCUCCUGCCGCCGCCUCCUCUACUCACCCCACCAUCGCCACCCCGUCCCUCCUCGUUCCCUCCACCAUCAGGGAAGGACGGAUCCACUCCCUCCCACCCCCUCCUCGCCUGGCAUCGCUCGAUGAAGAAGAUGGACAGCAUCUCGAGGCCUUGAAGGCCAGCGAAGCCUUGCGAGAGCCCUCCCCUGCCUGGCCGCCGCCCCCCCCGGCGUUCAAGGAGGAACUGGGCGACAAUAGGAAGCAUGCAGAGGCGGUGGUGGCCAAGGAAAAGGAGGAUCUUGCGGUCUGAUCCCGCCGCUAGGCGUGGGAUCUUGCGAUUUUGAUGAGAUUUGAGCCAUCCUAGAUGUGAAUUAGUAUUUUGUUUUACUUGGGGCGUGAUCUGCAAUAUGGGAGAGGGUGGCCUCUCCAAGAAAAAAUCGAUUCUUUUGGAGAGGAUGAUCUGCAAUAUUUUGAUCUGACUGCUCUCAUCACUCUUUUCUUCUUUCUGACAAUACAUAUUAAUGGUGCCCGAUCGCUUUGAGACACUUUGUUGUGGUGUUCUUCCAAAUUCCAGCACCACGACUCGGGUCCCGGAGCACCAGAUGGUACAAAAGCACCUUUGUCUUGGUCUUUUUCGCUUUAUUAUUUCUAAGUGUAGGAAUGAGAGUUGACACUGCCUCAUUCAGUUUUGUCUCACGUUCAGUACAUCCACUAAUUAUGAUUCAUGCUUAAUCAUUGCCAUAGCUUUAUGCUAACACUUAAACUAGCCGGUCUCUGGAAAAGUCGUGCUGCUUUGCUAGGUGACAUCUAAAGAACAUAGGCGUGCCACGAUGCCACAUUGCCGCCGUAACAAAAGCAAGCAAACUACCACGAGAUAUCCAGAGAACAUAGGCAUGCAAUGCAAACGCCACAAAUCCAACCUAUUGCAUGCUAAACUCCGAAGCUAAAAGUGAAAGCAAAAGUAGCUACUUUUGGUGGUGCGUACUAGAACUUGAAUAGACAGUAGUAAAUUAACCAAACUGAAUGUAAAAAAGACAGUGGUGGUAGUUACGUCGCGGGUGUGUGCGGAUCGGCACGUGACCAUGUGCGCCAGCGUCGGGAUGGUGUAGACGGUGAAGCUGAUAAGGAGGGAUCCGACGGCGGAGUUGAUGGGCCUGAAGAAGGGGAAGACGAUGGCGAGGAACCAGAUGGGCUCCACGAUGGGGAGGCGCGUGGCGGUGCAGGAUACACAAACUCGAUCUGAAUUCUGAAAGCUUGUAUCAGGAAGUGAGUAUGCAAGAUAGCUUCAGGCAAGGUGUACAGAGGUUGUACAGAGGCUGCAGCUGAAGCUGGACUCUGAAGGUUUCUGUUGGAACAAUCAUUGAGAACGAUGAGAGAGUUUGUGUCACAUGUGCCGCUCACUGAUGAGAAGUAGAUUGAAGUGAAUGGUGCUAGAGAAGGAGCGGCCUGGAAAGUACACCAGUGAUGCCCUGCAAGGUGAGGAGAAGAAAGCUAAGGAGAUGCUCCGUGUAAUCCCUAAGAAGCAAAGAGGGAGCAAAAGAACGGGUCCGCUCCAAGGGACUAUGACAUUGGCACUUUCAACAUCUAGCAGUAGGAGAACCGGCCCCAAUUAGUACAUGGUUCAUAAUUUAUUAAGGUACUUCUAAGCUAUUUCUGCAUGUAGAAGAUUCAUGUGCCUCCAUUUACCACAUGUUCCUUGCUGCCCUAUCAUCUUCAUCUUGUUAUUUGGCUGCUGCUAAGCUGAUUGUGGUGAUUUACUGCCUUCUGAUCUUCUCACUACUCAAUCAAGGUCCUUUCUGAAAAGCUUCAGGACGAUAUGAGCGCUAAAAAGUUCCAGCUUGUUGACGUUGUUGGACUUGGUAAGCUUGAUGAAGCCGAGGUCCAUAAGAAAAAGAAAAAAGUAUGUUUUUAGUCCCUCAAGUUUCCAAAAAGUACAGACUUGGUCCCUAAAGAUUUUUUGGUAUACAUUUGGUCCCUCAAGUCUCAAAACCUGGUAAGUUUGGUCCUAAACCAGAUUUUGACCCCGUUGACCGGGUUUGACCGGGUCAAACCCGCUAGAUGAACAGUAAACUCGAAUUUUUUCAAAAAAUAUCAAAAAAUUCUGAACUUUUUUGCGGUCCAAUAUGCUUACAUGCGCAAGGUCCGACCAAAUUUUUGUGGUCUUUUGACACUCGAGGAGAUCGUAACAAAAAAACAAAAAUAGUUGUCCGAUGAAUAGUAAAUUCGUUUUUUUUUAAAUUCAAAAAAUUCUGAAUUUUUUUGGGGUCGAAUAUGCUUACAUGUGCAAGGUGUGACCAAUUUUUUUGAACUGAUUUUGUAUUUUUUUUUCGGAAUUUAAUGUUCGUUUACGGUUCAUCUGGUGGGUUUGACCCGGUCAAACCCAGUCAUCGGGGUCAAAAUCUGGUUUAGGACCAAACUUACCCGGUUUUGAGACUUGAGGGACCAAAUGUAUACCAAAAAAUCUUGAGGGACCAAGUCUGCACUUUUUGGGAACUUGAGGGAUUAAAAACAUACUUUUCUCUAAGAAAAAUAUUUUGUCGUCAUCCUAU